rnacentral:rRNA from 2 species
GCGAAGAACCUUACCAGGUCUUGACAUCUUUUGAUCACAAAAAAAGAUCAGGUUUCCCCUUCGGGGGCAAAAUGACAGGUGGUGCAUGGUUGUCGUCAGCUCGUGUCGUGAGAUGUUGGGUUAAGUCCCGCAACGAGCGCAACCCUUAUGACUAGUUGCCAGCAUUUAGUUGGGCACUCUAGUAAGACUGCCGGUGAAAAACCGGAGGAAGGUGGGGAUGACGUCAAAUCAUCAUGCCCCUUAUGACCUGGGCUACACACGUGCUACAAUGGAUGGUACAACGAGUUGCGAGACCGCGAGGUCAAGCUAAUCUCUUAAAGCCAUUCUCAGUUCGGACUGUAGGCUGCAACUCGCCUACACGAAGUCGAAUCGCUAUAUACC